CCUUGACCAUCAAAGUAAUUUCUUUUUCUUUUUUUGAGACAGAGCCUUGCUCUAUCACCCAGGCUGGAGUGCAGUAGCCCAAUCUCAGCUCAUUGCAACCUCUGCCUCCAGGGUUCAAGCGAUUUUUGUGCCUCAGCCUCCCACGUAGCUGGGAUUACAGGCAAGCACCACCACACCUGGCUAAUUUUUGUAUUUUUAGUAGACGGGGUUUCCCCAGGUUGGCCAGGCUGGUCUCCAACUCCCAACCUCAGGCGAUCUGCUCGCCUUGGCCUCCCAAAGUGCUGGGAUUAUAGCCGUGAGCCACCAUGCUGGGCCCAUCAAAGUAAUUUCUAUUAAGCUUCACAAUACUGGAUGGCUUCUGCUCUCUAGGACAAUGUGUUUUACUGUUCAUAUUUGGCAGAGUCUAACAUCAUAAUUAGUUCCCUUCCUAGAGCUCAUAUCCAUGGAAUUAAGAGAGAAUAUAUUUAGGUAGAUCCCAGAGGUGAGGCUUAGGUAGAUUUAAAAAACGGCAGUAUGGGCCAUCCAUGAAACAUUCCCAGGUAGACAGCACACAUUGAAAACAGGGUUGACUGUGUUCUCUAGCUAGAGAAAAGCACCACGAAGGCAAUAGGAAUUGGGACCUUUUGAAUCAUAGGGCAGGGGUCCCCAACCCCCAGGCCACAGACUGUUACUGGUCUGUGGCCCGUUAGGAACCAGGCCGCACAGCAGGAGGUGAGUGGUGGGUGAGAGAGAUACCGCCUAAGCUCUGCCUCCUGUUAGAUCAGUGGCGGCAUUAGAUUCUCAAAGGAGCGUGAACUCCCUUGUGAACUGCACAUGAGAGGGAUCUAGGUUUUGUGCCCCUCAUGAGAAUCUAAUGCCUGAUGAUCUGAGGUAGAACAGUUUCAUUCUGAAACCAUCCCCACUCUCCCAUUCAAUCCAUGAAAAAAUUGUCUUCCACAAAACCGGUCCCUGGUGCCAAAAAGGUUGGGGACCACUGUCAUAGGGCACUGAUGGCCCUUGUGGCUCAGAGGAGCAGUACAAUAUGUGAAAGAAUGAGCUAGAACAAGAGGCAGGGUAGUGGGGGUUGUGGUACCAAUGUGGCACUAAGUAGCUGUGAGUGCUGUAUUUGGGUAAGACAUUGAAUUUUCCUGUACUCCACAGUUCCCUUCUCUGUAAAAAUCAGGAGUUUGGAUUUGAUCAGGUCUUGCUAGCUUCCAAAAGUUUUGAUUCUUAGCCUUAGUUGGUCUUCUCUAACUAAAGUUUGAGAUCAGAGUGGCAUAUUGGAAAUACAAUAUGCUGAACUGGAAAUGCCUUUUGCUGUGUAAGCUAAUGGAACCAAUAAAGGUUUAAGACACAGUGAACAGGAAACAAUUCCUGGCCUAAGCACUAUUAUUUCUCUGUACUACACCUCAAUGGCAUAAUUCCCAUGGAUAGUGGUUUGCUGCCAGAUACUCUGCAAUCUCUAUACUUGCUGCUGUCAGAUUCAAACAAACAAAAAUUACUCAGAAAAACAAAGCUUUAUUCAGAGCAAUGUUGUUAUGUGUUGAAUUGCAUCUCCCUAAAAUUCAUAUGUUUAAGUCCUAGCCCCCAGUACCUCAGAAUGUGACCCUAUUUGGGAAUGAGUUUGGUGCAGACAUAAUUAGUUUAGAUGAGGUCAUACUGGAAUAGGGUGUGUCCUACUUCGGUAUGACUGGUGUUCUUAUAAAAAGGGGAAAUUUGGACAUAGAGACACAAACACACAAGGAAAGCUCCAUGGAAGAUAAAGGCAGAGAUUUACAAGCCAAGGAAUGUCAAAGAUUGCCAGCACACCACCAGAAGCUAGCAGAGAGGCAUGGAACAGAUUCUUCUUCACAGCCUCAGAAGGAAAACCCUGCUGAUAUCUGGAUUUCAAACUCCUGGCCUCCAGAAUGACAAAGUCUUGCUUGCUCUGUCGCCCAGGACGGAGUGUAGUGGUAUGGUCUUGGCUCACUACAACCCCUGCCUCCCAGGUUCAAGUGAUUCUCCUGCCUCACGCUCCCAAGUAACGGACUACAGGCACACACCACCACACCCAGCUAAUUUUUGUAUUUUUUGUAGAGACGGGGUUUUACCACGUUGGCCAGGCUGGUCUUGAGCUCCUGACCUCAGGUGAUCCACCCGCCUCGAUCUCCCAUUAUUAACAAUCAAAUGGCUGUUCUUCGUGGUACUGGUACCAAAACAGAUAUAUACACCAAUGGAACAGAACAGAGGCCUCAGAAACAACACCACACAUCUACAACCAUCUGAUCUUUGACAAACCUGACAAAAACAAUGAAGAAAGGAUUCCCUAUUUAAUAAAUGGUGUUGGGAAAACUGGCUAGCCAUAUGCAGAAAACUAAAACUGGACCCUUUCCUUAUACCUUAUACAAAGAUUAACUCAAGAUGGAUUAAAGAUUUAAAUAUAAGACCUAAAACAAUAAAAACCCUAGAAGAAAACCCAGGCAAUACCAUUCAGGACAUAGACAUAGGCAAAGACUUAAUGACUAAAACACCAAAAGCAAUGGCAACAAAAGCCAAAAUUGACAAAUGAGAUCUAAUAAAACUAAAGAGCUCCUGCAUAGCAAAAGAAACUAUCAUCAGAGUGAACAGGCAACCUACAGAAUGGGAGAAGAAUGGGAGAAAAUUUUUGCAAUCUAUCCAUCUGACCAAGGGCUAAUAUCCAGAAUCUACAAGGAACUUAAACAAAUUUACAAGAAAAAACAACCCCAUCAAAAAGUGGGCAAAGGAUAUGAACAGACACUUUUCAAAAGAAGACAUUUAUGAGACCAAAAAAAAAAGUAAAAAAAGCUCAUCAUCAC